rnacentral:tRNA from 1 species
GCCCGGAUAGCUCAGUCGGUAGAGCAUCAGACUUUUAAUCUGAGGGUUCAGGGUUCGAGCCCCUGUUCGGGCG